rnacentral:rRNA from 1 species
UGGGGAAUAUUGCACAAUGGGCGCACGCCUGAUGCAGCCAUGCCGCGUGUAUGAAGAAGGCCUUCGGGUUGUAAAGUACUUUCAGCGAGGAGGAAGGCAUUGUGGUUAAUAACCGCAGUGAUUGACGUUACUCGCAGAAGAAGCACCGGCUAACUCCGUGCCAGCAGCCGCGGUAAUACGGAGGGUGCAAGCGUUAAUCGGAAUUACUGGGCGUAAAGCGCACGCAGGCGGUCUGUCAAGUCGGAUGUGAAAUCCCCGGGCUCAACCUGGGAACUGCAUCCGAAACUGGCAGGCUAGAGUCUUGUAGAGGGGGGUAGAAUUCCAGGUGUAGCGGUGAAAUGCGUAGAGAUCUGGAGGAAUACCGGUGGCGAAGGCGGCCCCCUGGACAAAGACUGACGCUCAGGUGCGAAAGCGUGGGGAGCAAACA